UUUGUUGGGGUUUGGGCUAGUUUAUGCCCCUAAAUGCUUGAGAAUGUGUUUAUGCAUGUCGUAGAAUAGCUAAAUGCAUGUUUGGGAGGCAUAAAUGGACAAGAGGGCUGAGUUCUCCCAUUCUGGAAGAACUCAGGUUCGGCAGCCGAAGGAAUGUUCGACCGCCGAACCUGCCUGUUGAGGCAUGUUUUGGCCGCCUAAGCUCGCCCCCGAAAGUUGGACUUUUGGCUCUGGAGGGGAGUUUUGGCCGCCGAACCUGCCGCUGAAAGUGCAUGAGUUUCGGAUCUGGAAGGGACUUUCGGCCGCCGAAGGUGCAUG
rnacentral:lncRNA from 1 species